UGCGGGGUAGAGCAGUUUGGUAGCUCGCAAGGCUCAUUACCUUGAGGUCACGAGUUCAAAUCCUAUCUCCACAA
rnacentral:tRNA from 1 species